AACGAACGCUGGCGGCAUGCCUAACACAUGCAAGUCGAACGAGAUCUUCGGGUCUAGUGGCGCACGGGUGCGUAACGCGUGGGAAUCUGCCCUUUGGUUCGGAAUAACAGUUGGAAACGACUGCUAAUACCGGAUGAUGACGAAAGUCCAAAGAUUUAUCGCCAGAGGAUGAGCCCGCGUAGGAUUAGCUAGUUGGUGUGGUAAAGGCGCACCAAGGCGACGAUCCUUAGCUGGUCUGAGAGGAUGAUCAGCCGCACUGGGACUGAGACACGGCCCAGACUCCUGCGGGAGGCAGCAGUGGGAAAUAUUGGACAAUGGGCGAAAGCCUGAUCCAGCAAUGCCGCGUGAGUGAUGAAGGCCUUAGGGUUGUAAAGCUCUUUUACCCGGGAUGAUAAUGACAGUACCGGGAGAAUAAGCUCCGGCUAACUCCGUGCCAGCCGCCGCCGUAA
rnacentral:rRNA from 1 species